CCUACGGGUGGCAGCAGUGAGGAAUAUUGGUCAAUGGGCGCGAGCCUGAACCAGCCAAGUAGCGUGAAGGAUGAAUGCCCUACGGGUUGUAAACUUCUUUUAUAAAGGAAUAAAGUGAGGCACGUGUGCCUUUUUGAAUGUACUUGAACAAUAAGGAUCGGCUAACUCCUUGCCAGCAGCCGCGGUAAUACGGAGGAUUCGAGCGUUAUCCGGAGUUAUUGGGUUUAAAGGGAGCGUAGAUGGGUUGUUAAGUCAGUUGUGAAAGUUUGCGGCUCAAACGUAGAAUUGCAAUUGAUACUGGCAGUCUUGAGUACAGUUGGGGUAGGCGGAAUUCGUGGUGUAGCGGUGAAAUGCUUAGAUAUCACGAAGAACUCCGAUUGCGAAGGCAGCUUACUAAACUGCCACUGACAUUGAUGCUCGAAAGUGUGGGUAUCAAACAGGAUUAGAUACCCUAGUAGUC
rnacentral:rRNA from 1 species